UUUUUCUACAAGGAACAAUAGCGUGCUUUUACUUAAUGUUAAAAAAGAAUAUAGGCAUUGAUCGAGGAUCAAUGAUUUUAAAAAAAUUGCAUUUAUUGAGCAAAUUAUCUGUAAAACGUGUACGUAAAUAGUUAUUAGUGUUGUGUAACAGAUAUUGGAAACGUUAUCAUAUAAAAUUAUCAUCACUUGGAUUUUGUGUCUAUCAAGUAAAUGGAUAUGCCACCUGCACAUAAUAAAAUGGAACUUGAACCAUUGAAACAAUCAGUAAACGUACCUGACGAAUCUUAUCAGUGUACUAUGCAGAAUAGUUACAUUAUCGAAUCCAAUAAUGAUUCAACAGUCAGUACAGUGCCUCAUCAGCAUAUGCAGGAAGUGCAGAACAGUAGCAGAGCAACAGAAAGUACCUAUUUGACGCCGAGCAGAAGUCAAACAUAUUUUGCUGAUGAAAAAGUUCGGAUUCCAGACACAGAUAAUAGCAUAUUUAGUUUCAAAAAAUUAUGGGCAUUCACGGGUCCUGGAUUUUUAAUGUCCAUAGCUUAUCUAGAUCCUGGGAAUAUAGAAUCUGAUUUACAGUCCGGAGUAGCUGCUAAGUAUAAAUUAUUAUGGGUAUUACUAAGCGCAACAAUUCUAGGUCUUGUUAUGCAAAGACUAAGCGCAAGGCUCGGCGUGGUAACAGGUUUGCAUCUAGCAGAAAUGUGUUACAGACAAUAUAAAAAAGUACCUAGAAUGAUUUUAUGGAUAAUGAUAGAAGUAGCUAUAAUUGGUAGUGACAUGCAAGAAGUAAUAGGAACAGCCAUUGCUCUGUCUUUAUUAACGAACAAAGCGAUUCCUAUAUGGGGCGGCGUGUUAAUCACUGUAAUCGACACUUUUACGUUUUUAUUAUUGGACAAAUAUGGUUUAAGAAAAUUGGAACUCUUUUUUGGAUUUCUUAUCACAAUAAUGGCUGUUACCUUUGGUUACGAGUAUAUUGUUUCCGCACCCCCGCAAGAUGAAGUGAUUAGCGGAAUGUUUGUACCUUGGUAUAAACAUUAUGACAGUAAUAUGUUACUACAAGCCGUUGGAAUUGUUGGUGCAGUCAUAAUGCCACAUAAUUUAUAUCUUCACAGUGCUCUUGUUAAAUCAAGGGACAUCGAUCGUAGGGAAUACAAGAAAGUUCAAGAGGCAAAUAUGUAUUAUUUUGUCGAAACCUGCAUUGCGCUUUUAGUUUCUUUCAUUAUUAACGUUUUCGUUGUCGCGGUGUUUGCCCGUGGUCUUUAUCAAAAAACGAAUCUAGAAGUUUAUAACCUUUGUGAAGCAAAUAACUAUACUAUGGGAAUGGAAACAUUUAAUAAAGAGAAUACAACGAUAUCAGUAGAUUUAAACAAAGGUGGUAUAUUUCUUGGGUGUGCCUUUGGUGCGGCUGCAAUGUACAUUUGGGCUAUUGGUAUUUUUGCUGCUGGCCAGUCUUCUACAAUGACGGGAACAUACGCAGGACAAUUUGCGAUGGAAGGUUUCUUGAAUCUCCAGUGGGCUCGUUGGAAGCGAGUUCUCUUCACAAGAAUGAUCGCCAUCGUACCUACUUUUCUCGUUGCAUUCUUUAGCGAUAUAGAUAAUUUAACUGGAAUGAACGACAUUUUAAACGCUAUUAUGACACUUCAGUUACCUUUUGCAACGUUACCAACAAUAGCAUUUACCAGUAGCGCUCAAAUAAUGGGUGAAUUCAAGAAUGGAAUAACGAAUAAAAUUGUUGCAACAACAUUGUCUGCUGUUGUAAUAACCAUAAAUAUAUAUUUUGUAAUAAUUACGGUUCGGGAAGAUUUACCACAUCACUGGACGGUGAUACUUGCAAUUUCUAUUUAUUCUAUUUUGUAUCUUCUAUUCUGUCUUUAUCUUGUCAUUCAUAUGGCUGUGAGCAUGGGUGCAAGUUCUCUCAAUGAGUACUGGUUUGUGAAAAAAUAUAUCGGAAGUCCUGUAAGUACAACACUUGGAUUAUCAAAUCCUGCUGUGUAUGCAAGCUUCUUCAAUGUAUCAGAAACAUCCCUAAACAUAUAAUUGAGUUUGCUUCAUAAAAGUUCUUUAAACAAGUUAUUCUUCUAAAUUCAAAAUGUGCAUAUUUUAAAACAAUUGCAACAUCAUCCGAGUUCAACAUUAUUCAUGAAGAUCGAAUCCUGCAUUUAACAUUCAAGAAAAUUGGACCGGAAGUUUCUCUGCAAUACCGGAAAGCUAGUUAUUUAUUUUUAUUAUAGAAAUACGGUAAAGUGUAUAAUACUCAUGAAUCGUGGCUCAUAUUUUUUUAAAUUUUUAAAAAUUGUACAAAAUUAAAAUCUAGAAUUUUUCAAUUGAAUUGUACUUUUAAAUUCUUUUAUCUGAUAUAUUUAAAUAUUGACGUAUUAUAUACAAGACAAUUACAUUUGUACAUACUUAUACUAUUUGUAUAAUAAAAUAAUUUAAUUCCUCAAAAGUAACCGUGUAAAAAAAAAAUGAAAACAUUUGAAUAAAUAUAAUUUAAAAGUGCAAAAUAUGUGAUAUGUGAAAAGUCAAUAAUAUUAUUUGCAAUGCUAGUUAGAAAUAUUGAACCUUCAUGUUUACAUGUAUACGGGACGUUUAAAUAGUAAAUAACACAGACUUGGGAAUCAGUUUGCUCCCGCCCGCUGUAGAGGACGGAUCGUUGUUGGUAUGUAGAAAUACUUUUGAAUUAAAACUCUCAUUCUAAACGAGCGUACAAUAUUUUUAACAUCCAUUAUUAAAACGAAUAAUAAUAC